rnacentral:rRNA from 1 species
CCCCUUGGCCGGCGGCCUACCAUGCAGUCGAGCGGCAGCGGAAGUAGCUUGCUACUUUGCCGGCGAGCGGCGGACGGGUGAGUAAUGUCUGGGAAACUGCCUGAUGGAGGGGGAUAACUACUGGAAACGGUAGCUAAUACCGCAUAACGUCGCAAGACCAAAGAGGGGGACCUUCGGGCCUCUUGCCAUCAGAUGUGCCCAGAUGGGAUUAGCUAGUAGGUGGGGUAACGGCUCACCUAGGCGACGAUCCCUAGCUGGUCUGAGAGGAUGACCAGCCACACUGGAACUGAGACACGGUCCAGACUCCUACGGGAGGCAGCAGUGGGGAAUAUUGCACAAUGGGCGCAAGCCUGAUGCAGCCAUGCCGCGUGUAUGAAGAAGGCCUUCGGGUUGUAAAGUACUUUCAGCGGGGAGGAAGGCGUUGAGGUUAAUAACCUCAGCGAUUGACGUUACCCGCAGAAGAAGCACCGGCUAACUCCGUGCCAGCAGCCGCGGUAAUACGGAGGGUGCAAGCGUUAAUCGGAAUUACUGGGCGUAAAGCGCACGCAGGCGGUCUGUCAAGUCGGAUGUGAAAUCCCCGGGCUCAACCUGGGAACUGCAUUCGAAACUGGCAGGCUAGAGUCUUGUAGAGGGGGGUAGAAUUCCAGGUGUAGCGGUGAAAUGCGUAGAGAUCUGGAGGAAUACCGGUGGCGAAGGCGGCCCCCUGGACAAAGACUGACGCUCAGGUGCGAAAGCGUGGGGAGCAAACAGGAUUAGAUACCCUGGUAGUCCACGCCGUAAACGAUGUCGACUUGGAGGUUGUGCCCUUGAGGCGUGGCUUCCGGAGCUAACGCGUUAAGUCGACCGCCUGGGGAGUACGGCCGCAAGGUUAAAACUCAAAUGAAUUGACGGGGGGCCCGCACAAGCGGUGGAGCAUGUGGGUUUAAUUUCGAUGCAACGCGAGAACCCUUACCUACUCUUGACAUCCAGAGAACUUAGCAGAGAUGCUUUGGUGCCUUCGGGAACUCUGAGACAGGUGCUGCAUGGCUGUCGUCAGCUCGUGUUGUGAAAUGUGGGUAAGUCCCGCAACGAAGCGCAAACCUUAUCUUUGUGCCAGGCCGUUCAGGGCGGUACUCAAGGAGACUGCAGGUGAAUAACCUGCAGGACGUGGGGGAUGACGUCAGUCAUCAUGGUCCUACGAUAGGCUACACACGGUCCUACUACAAGUGC